AGAAAGUUGUGCCAUGUAGGACGCUAAUCAGCAGCCCCGGUGAAGCAGAACGUGCCGCGUGGUAAGGGACACUGACACGAUGUCAUGCGGGAGGCCAUGCAAGCAAUUCGCGUGCUCACGAUCGGACGGCCCAGAUCUGCUCCCUGUGCACGGACGGCUCAGAUGCGAGCACUCCCCAGACGCGAUCAACGGUGUAGAUCUACUUCUUAUUUUAUCCCGAUCGGAAGGUCCAGAUCAAACGUGAUGGACGACCUAAAUUAACAGA
rnacentral:lncRNA from 1 species